ACAAAUUCAACAAUCAAACAUUCAACACACAAAUUCAACAAUCAAACGUACACAAAUUCAACAAUCAACAGCAAAUAACACUUGCCAAAAUAACACUUGCCGACUGAGGGCUGUGGAAUAAGCACUUGCCGACUGUCCGACGACGCGUGGAGAGCCGAUAGAGUACAACGACCGACGCCGAUGAUGAAUCAGUUCAGUUGAGAGGAGAAUGGAGGCACAGGUGCGAGAAUCUCGCGGCGAGAUGAGAGCCAUGCAGAGCAUAGAGAUGAGAGAUUGUCGACUGCCCGAUGACGCGUGGAGAGCCGAUAGAGAGCAACGGCCGACGCCGAUGGUGAAUCAGUCCAAUCGAAAGGAGAGUGGAGGCACAGGCGCGAGAAUCUCGCGGCGAGAUGAGA
rnacentral:lncRNA from 1 species